GCAGGGGUGGUUCAGCUGUAGAAUUCUCACCUUCCAUGUGGGAGACAAGGGUUUGACUCCCAGCCAGUGCA
rnacentral:tRNA from 1 species